rnacentral:ncRNA from 1 species
GGGCGGGUAAAGCGGAGGAAUCCGCUUCCCUCCCCGAAAGUAUGAGGCCGCCGGAGGGCGGUCCGGAGCCGAGUAGGGGAGGUCCCGCCC